rnacentral:rRNA from 1 species
AACGAACGCUGGCGGCAUGCCUAACACAUGCAAGUCGAACGAGACCUUCGGGUCUAGUGGCGCACGGGUGCGUAACGCGUGGGAACCUGCCCUUAGGUUCGGAAUCACUCCCCGAAAGGGGUGCUAAUACCGGAUAAUGUCUUCGGACCAAAGAUUUAUCGCCUUUGGAUGGGCCCGCGUUGGAUUAGCUAGUUGGUAGGGUAAAAGCCUACCAAGGCGACGAUCCAUAGCUGGUCUGAGAGGAUGAUCAGCCACACUGGGACUGAGACACGGCCCAGACUCCUACGGGAGGCAGCAGUGGGGAAUAUUGGACAAUGGGCGAAAGCCUGAUCCAGCAAUGCCGCGUGAGUGAUGAAGGCCUUAGGGUUGUAAAGCUCUUUUACCCGGGAUGAUAAUGACAGUACCGGGAGAAUAAGCUCCGGCUAACUCCGU